rfam:Candidatus Glomeribacter gigasporarum BEG34, WGS project CAFB01000000 data, contig: Contig1844rna-1692
GGUCAAGCGAAUAAGUGCAUGGGGUGGAUGCCUUGGCGGUCACAGGCGAAGAAGGACGUGCAAGCCUGCGAAAAGCUCCGGGGAGUAGGUAGACGCAUUGAUCCGGAGAUCUCCGAAUGGGGAAACCCGGCCCAUAUAUGGGUUAUCCUUGACUGAAUUCAUAGGUCAAGCGAAGCGAACGCGGUGAACUGAAACAUCUUAGUAACCGCAGGAACAGAAAUCAACCGAGAUUCCCAAAGUAGUGGCGAGCGAAAUGGGAAGAGCCUGUAUUCUUUAACACAUGGGUGAGCAGAACGGACUGGAAAGUCCGGCCAUAGAAGGUGAGAGCCCGGUAUGUGAAAACUGGUGUGUGGAACUAGGAAUACGAAAAGUAGGGCGGGACACGUGAUAUCCUGUCUGAAGAUGGGGGGACCAUCCUCCAAGGCUAAAUACUCGUGACCGACCGAUAGUGAACCAGUACCGUGAGGGAAAGGCGAAAAGAACCCCGGGAGGGGAGUGAAAUAGAACCUGAAACCGCAUGCAUAAAAACAGUGGGAGCGCGCAAGCGUGACCGCGUACCUUUUGUAUAAUGGGUCAGCGACUUACGUUCAGUAGCAAGCUUAACCGUUUAGGGGAGGCGUAGCGAAAGCGGGUCCGAAUAGGGCGUGCAGUUGCUGAGCGUAGACCCGAAAUCAGAUGAUCUAUCCAUGGCCAGGUUGAAGGUGCGGUAACACGUACUGGAGGGCCGAACCCACUACUGUUGCAAAAGUAGGGGAUGAGCGGUGGAUAGGAGUGAAAGGCUAAACAAAUCUGGAAAUAGCUGGUUCUCUCCGAAAACUAUUGAGGUAGUGCCUCGUGUGUAACCUUCGGGGGUAGAGCACUGUCAUGGUUGAGGGGUCCAUUGCGGAUUACUUCGCCAUAGCAAACUCCGAAUACCGAAGAGUGGAAUCACGGGAGACAGACAUCGGGUGCUAACGUCCGGUGUCAAGAGGGCAACAACCCAGACCGUCAGCUAAGGUCCCAAAGAUUGGCUCAGUGGGAAACGAAGUGGGAAGGUCGAAACAGUCAGGAGGUUGGCUUAGAAGCAGCCAUCCUUUAAAGAAAGCGUAAUAGCUCACUGAUCGAGUCAUCCUGCGCGAAAGAUGUAACGGGGCUUAAGCCAGUCACCGAAGCUGCGGAUGCAAGCGUGCUUGCAUGGUAGGAGAGCGUUCCGUAGGCCGGAGAAGGCGCAUUGAGAAGUGCGUUGGAGGUAUCGGAAGUGCGAAUGCUGACAUGAGUAACGAUAAAGGAGGUGAAGAGCCUCCUCGCUGUAAGCCCAAGGUUUCCUGCGCAACGUUCAUCGGCGCAGGGUGAGUCGGCCCCUAAGGCGAGGCAGAAAUGCGUAGCUGAUGGGAAGCAGGUGAAUAUUCCUGCACCAUCGUAAGAAUGCGAUGAGGGGACGGAUCACGGAAGGUUGUCCGGGGGAUGGAAGUCCUGGUCCCUGCAUUGGAGAAGGCGCUUAGGAAAAUCCGGGCGCGCAAUUCAAGGGUGUGGGGCGAGCGAACUUUGAGUUUGCGAAGCAAUCGGAAGGGGUUCCAAGAAAAGCCUCUAAGCUUAAGUCUUACGAGACCGUACCGCAAACCGACACAGGUGGGCAAGAUGAAUAUUCUAAAGCGCUUGAGAGAACUCGGGAGAAGGAACUCGGCAAAUUGGACCCGUAACUUCGGGAGAAGGGUCACCCUAGUAACUUGAGCAGCUAGCGCUGUGAGGGAGAAUGGGUUGCAAUAAAAGGGUGGCUGCGACUGUUUAAUAAAAACACAGCACUCUGCAAACACGUAAGUGGACGUAUAGGGUGUGACGCCUGCCCGGUGCCGGAAGAUUAAAUGAAGGCGUGCAAGCGCUGGAUUGAAGUCCCGGUAAACGGCGGCCGUAACUAUAACGGUCCUAAGGUAGCGAAAUUCCUUGUCGGGUAAGUUCCGACCUGCACGAAUGGCGUAACGAUGGCCACACUGUCUCCUCCCGAGACUCAGUGAAAUUGAAAUGGUUGUGAUGAUGCAAUCUACCCGCGGCUAGACGGAAAGACCCCAUGAACCUUUACUGUAGCUUUGCAUUGGACUGUGAACCGGUUUGUGUAGGAUAGGUGGGAGGCAAAGAAGUCGGGACGCCAGUUCCGAUGGAGCCGUCCUUGAAAUACCACCCUGAUCUGUUUGCGGUUCUAACUUAGGCUCGUGCACCGGGCCGGGGACCAUGCAUGGCAGGCAGUUUGACUGGGGCGGUCUCCUCCCAAAGAGUAACGGAGGAGUGCGAAGGUACGCUAGAUACGGUCGGAAAUCGUAUUGAUAGUGCAAUGGCAUAAGCGUGCUUGACUGCGAGACGGACAUGUCGAGCAGGUGCGAAAGCAGGUCAUAGUGAUCUGGUGGUUCUGAAUGGAAGGGCCAUCACUCAACGGAUAAAAGGUACUCUGGGGAUAACAGGCUCAUACCGCCCAAGAGUUCAUAUCGACGGCGGUGUUUGGCACCUCGAUGUCGGCUCAUCUCAUCCUGGGGCUGUAGCAGGUCCCAAGGGUAUGGCUGUUCGCCAUUUAAAGAGGUACGUGAGCUGGGUUUAAAACGUCGUGAGACAGUUUGGUCCCUAUCUGCCGUGGGCGUUGGAAGUUUGAGAGGGGCUGCGCCUAGUACGAGAGGACCGGCGUGGACGCACCACUGGUGUACCGGUUGUCACGCCCGUGGCAUUGCCGGGUAGCUAAGUGCGGAAGAGAUAACCGCUGAAAGCAUCUAAGCGGGAAACUCGCCUCAAGAUGAGACUUCCCUGACAUGAAAGUGUCCUGAAGGGCCGUCCGAGACUAGGACGUUGAUAGGCUGGGUGUGGAAGCGCAGUAAUGCGUGAAGCUAAUCAGUACUAAUUGCCCGUGCGGCUUGACCCU